GGAAUAUAUACAAGAAAAUUGACUUUGGAAAUGUUUUCUAGUUAUAAGCAUAGUAUUAGCACUAUCAGGCCUGGUCUACAGUAAUGAGGAGUGCUGAAGUGGUGUUGCUUGCACAUCAGACUUCACAAAGGCUUAUGAUGUCAAGGUUUGACGGAUACAGCUCCCCUAUUUUGGUGCAGUCAUCCCAUCACUUUAAGUGCUUGGAAAUUCAGAGUGCCAGUUAGCAGAGCAUCAGUCUGGGAAGGACCAUCGGAAUGCAGAACCUAAGAAUACUGGGGGCUCUGCAAUGAAUGCAGUGACAGGGACACUUGAGGAUGUAAGAAGGCAGAAGGAAAUGAAGGACAGGGACUGUAAUACCUGCCAGAAAGCUGAGGUGCCAGUGGCUGUGCACCCAAUGCAUUGUGGCUGGAACAACUGCAGAGAGGAAAUGCUCCAAGAAUCAAAUGGACAGAAGGGAGGCUGUGUGAAGUCCUAUUAUCACUGAGGAUCUGAGAUGGAUUUAGCCAUGAGCACCAGCUGACACAGUGUACCGGGUACUGCUCCCACUUCUUGAAAAUUGCAUUGCAAUUUUGAAAAUGCACUCUCUGUAGGGGAAAUCAGGUCCUAGAGUCCUUCUGCAGAUGACUGAAAGUGCCAGCUCCUUGUCGAUCUCCUCUAUCUCUGAUCACUGGUUAAUUCUACAUUCAGAUGGCAUGACUAAAUUUCCCAUUGUCUGCUGCUCACCACAAGGAAAAGGAAUGUCUGUGCUGUCUUUAUGGAGAUGCUGAGGAGAAAAAAGAACUCAGAUGCAUUAAGGCCUUUUUGCCCAGGCCUGAUCCUACACUUAUUGAAAUCAAUGGCAAUGGGUGGAGGAUCAAGCUGUAAAUGCUGGUUUCCUGGUAAAGAAGCAAGCAUCUAAGGAGUCUGGUGUUUGGUCUCUUCUACUGCAAUCCUGAAUGCUUCCAUUCCAGUCUCAUAAGGUGCCAAUCAAAUCAAUGCUUGUAAUAAUAAUUAAUAAAUAAGUAAAAGUAUUUUAAGUCUAUUAAAUAUAAAUACUCUACUGCAACAUAUUUAAAGAAAUAGAAUAAAAUUCACAAGUGUGCCUAAGUGACUUAGGAGCCCAGGUCUCAUGAGAUUUGGGAUCGUAAGUGCCCAAGUCCUUUGGAAAAGGGACUUAGGCUCCAUAAGUCUUUUGUUUCAGUCUUUUGUCUUUAUUUUGUGAAUAUGCAGGUCCUUUUUCUAGCAUCUGCUUGGUGAGCCUUUGUGCUGGAUAGAAAUACAUGUGCAUUGAGCUAAGCCUCUUUGAGUCUACAUGGGUCUGAUUCUCAUUUAUACUAAAGUAUCCUUACACCCACGGUAGGGCCUCCUUAAAUUCCCAGAGAGGUGUUUAGGGGCCUUGUUGUAAAUAAGAAUCAGACCUCAUCUGUGUUUCUUUGUGGGGGUCUAGCCAAAUGGCCUUUUUUAUUCAUUUGUUUAUUUUUUGGCUGAUGAACUCAGUAGCUUUAAGGAGCACCAGACUCAUCCAGUUUUCCGCUUGGAAGGGAAUUAUAGCAUCUUUCCUGUAGUAAUAAUCUCUUUAAGAGGUUUCUAAAAUAAUGGAAAAUGACUGAGAAUUCUAUGUGGUCAGGUGGAUUAAGACAAGAAGGAUCUCCUUCACAGACGCAGAGAGUAAACAGAGUACAUCAACAAUGCACAGUAAUUGCCUUGCAGAAAAACUUAUAAUAAGCUGCAUCACCAUUGAUGCAAAAUCAGAGUUCACUGGUGGUGGGUUUUUUUUUGUUUUUUGUUUUUCUGGUUCUAAUUUAACCUUUAUUAUUUUGUAACAUUUCACCAGCAUAAGAAGCCUACAUACAUCAAAGGGGCUAAUGAAUGUUUGGGACAAGGUUAUAUCAAGCAAGAGAAUGGGACACUUGGCAUUGGAAAGAAGCCUGGUGCACUUAAAACGAACCGCUUUGUUUUAAUCCUUUCAUCUACCUCUUUAGCUUCUUUUUGUUUCAGCUGCCAUAAACACUUGCUGUGAAGCCAAUGUUCAGUACUAAAAGGAUUUUUUUUUGUAUUCCUCUCAUUUCUGUUGAAACAUGACACUCAAAUUGGAGAUAGGAGCAGAGAUCAACAAACCCUGUCAGCUCUUGUCAACCCAGGUGUAACAGUGUGAUCUUCUUAAAUUGCUGCUAAUCUGCCAAAGAUCUCUUUAUCUGCAGUCUCCAUCAUGCUGUUUGCUCACAUUUGGUUAACACUUUAAAUUUCCCUUUUGGAGGUGUCACUGUUUGCCAUUUAGUAACUAAGAAGAACUGUGAGAGCAGCUUAAAGCACAUGGAUUUGGGAAGCUAGAAAAGCUGAUUAGCUAUUCAGGGAGAAUAAUCUUAUUGAAAGUAGUAAGAGCUGUAUAAAGAAUGCUUUUCCCUUUCCUCGUAACAAUCUUCUAAUUAUGUUGUCAAGCUUGCUGUCGUGUUCUCCCCCUGUGCCAUUAAGAAACCGUUUUCUAUGUUAAGAAAGAGAUUUC